GGCGUCCGAGUUGUAAUUUGUAGAGGAUGCUAUUGGGUUGCCACCGGUCUAAGUUCUUUGGAACAGGACGUCACAGAGGGUGAGAAUCCCGUAUGUGACCGGCCAGGCGCCUUCUGUAUAGCUCCUUCGACGAGUCGGGUUGUUUGGGAAUGCAGCCCUAAAUGGGAGGUAAAUUUCUUCUAAAGCUAAAUACCGGCCAGAGACCGAUAGCGCACAAGUAGAGUGAUCGAAAGAUGAAAAGCACUUUGGAAAGAGAGUUAAAAAGCACGUGAAAUUGUUGAAAGGGAAGCGCUUGCAAUCAGUCUCGACGGCGGCUGUUCGGCCUCUCUUCUGAGUGGUUUAUUCAGUCGCCGCCGGGCCAGCAUCAGUUUUGGCGGUCGGAUAAAGGCGUGGGGAAUGUAGCUCCUCCGGGAGUGUUAUAGCCCCGCGUGCAAUACGGCCCGCCGGGACUGAGGUCCGCGCUUCGGCUAGGAUGCUGGCGAAAUGGUUGUAAGCGGCCCGUCUUGAAACACGGACCAAGGAGUCUAACAUCUACGCGAGUGUUUGGGUGUCAAACCCGUGCGCGCAAUGAAAGUGAACGGAGGUGGGAACCGCAAGGUGCACCAUCGACCGAUCCUGAUGUCUUCGGAUGGAUUUGAGUAAGAGCGUAGCUGUUGGGACCCGAAAGAUGGUGAACUAUGCCUGAAUAGGGUGAAGCCAGAGGAAACUCUGGUGGAGGCUCGCAGCGGUUCUGACG
rnacentral:rRNA from 1 species